rnacentral:rRNA from 1 species
AUGAUGAAAGAAAUAUUGGAAACUAGCGAAGAUCUUGGGAAGGCUUUAUAGAAGAAAGCACAAGACAUAGUAAAUGCAGUUCGUCUAGUGCAUUCGACAAAAGUACUUCUGGAAGAGAUGAGAUCAGAUGAAGGAUGGGAGUUGUUCAUUGGAAAUGUUGUUGAGUUCUGUGUGGAGCAUGAUAUAGAUAUUCCAGACAUUGAAGAACUAUACAUUCUGCAUGGUGGGCGUCCUCGUUGUCAACCUGAUCACUUUACUAGAGAAAGGUAUCUACGAGUGGAGAUAUUUCGAGCAACAAUUGACAACCAACUAAAUGAAUUGAAUCUUAGGUUCAAUGAGAAAGUGAUGGAUCUCUUAUCCAUUAGUGUUACAUUGAUACCAAGAAAUGGAUUUACAUCAUUCAAUGCUAAGGAAAUAUGUUCAAUGGUGGAGAAAUUUUAUCCGGCUGAUUUUACACAACAAGAGACAUAUGGGUUGGAGAUUCAGCUCAACCAUUUUGCUGCAGAUGCUAAAAACAGUGGAGACUUGAAGAAGCCCAUCACUAUAACUUCUUUAUGUCGAUGCCUUGUUGAGACAGUACGAGAUAGAAUUUACAAUUUGCUUGAUAGGUUGCUUCGAUUGCUUGUUACUCUCCCGGUUUCCACUGCAAGUGUUGAGCGUGCUUUCUCGAGCUUGAAGAUUAUCAAGUCAAGACUACGUAAGACAAUGGAAGAUGAUUUUCUUGCAGACAGUUUGUUGCUACAAAUUGAACGAGAAAUUGCAUAG